rnacentral:snRNA from 1 species
GAGCACUGAGAUUCGGUUAUUCAUGUACUAAAGUUAGAGAGAUCCAGAGAAGAUUAACAUGUCCCCACUGAAGGAUGACACGGAGAAUAAUGAACCGUUUGAUUUUUUU